GUCCACGCCGUAAACGAUGGAUACUAGCUGUUGGGAUUUAUCUCAGUGGCUAAGCGAAAGUGAUAAGUAUCCCACCUGGGGAGUACGUUCGCAAGAAUGAAACUCAAAGGAAUUGACGGGGCCCGCACAAGCGGUGGAGCAUGUGGUUUAAUUCGAUGAUACGCGAGGAACCUUACCAAGGCUUAAAUGUAGAUUGACAGGUUUGGAAACAGACUUUUCUUCGGACAAUUUACAAGGUGCUGCAUGGUUGUCGU
rnacentral:rRNA from 1 species